UGAGGUUUCACCAUAUCGGCCAGGCUGAUCUCAAACUCCUGACCUCAUGAUCCACCUGCCUCGGUCUCCCAAAGUGCUGGGAUUAUAGGCGUGAGCCACUGCGCCCGGCCUGCAAUUGUGGAACUUUUAUUAUGUCCCAGUGUCAAAAAGGUGAAGCCAUGAGAUCAGCAGGAUGUAGGGAGAUCCUGUGGAAUGCCUCCCAGUACUCACAUAUCCCAAGAUUAAAGUCGAUUAAAAAAAUUACAAUGGCCUGAAGUAAGCAGACCUGAUAAUGGUCCAGAUCCUUCGAGAAUGAUGAUGUGGGACAUCCUAUACAGCAAGAAACCAUAACCAGCUGAGGUAUUUGCUGAAGGAAAUGCUGGAGUCCUUCAUCACAGUGGUAAAUGGCAUUUGUGACAAAAAUCAAAAUAACUAAAACAGAAUCUGGUUGAAACCUCAGUAGCAAUAGUCCUGUCUACUGCCACACUAACCAGACCAACUCUCUAAAUGAAGUUCAUCCUGAACAAUCUGAUCUCAGAUUUACUCCUGUGUCAGCUAGUCCUCUGGAGGAAGUAGAAAUGAGAUAAUGGGGGAGCUAAUAAAACCCAGGCCAGAGCACACAAUGUGGAAAUGAAAACCUUAUCCUUGUCAAUGGAUGGAGGGUGGCCUGUACAAGAAACAUGGUGCCAGCAUCUGCUUCUGGUGAGGACUGCAGGAAGCUUCCAAUCGUGGUCCAAGAAAUGCGGAGCCUGCGUUUCACGUGAUAAGAGAUGGAGCAUGAGAAAGAGGCAGGAGGAGAAAGGUGCCAAGCUAUUUUUAACAAUCAGAUCUCGAGGGAACCAAUAGAACAAGAACUCAUGAUCUCAGCACCAAGCCAUUCAUAAGGGAUGUGCCCCAUGACUCAAACACCUCUCACUAGGCCCCACUUCUAAUUCUGAGAUCAAAUUUCAACAUGAGAUUUUGAGAGGACAGAUAUGCAAACUCUUUCACCUUGAAAGAGAGUAUUUCUGGGAAUAUUAAGAAGGGUUCACAAAGCAGACUCAGGGGUUGGGUUUUGUGUGUAACCAUGGUAUGGAAUCCACACGCAGUCCAUGUUGCUAGCUCCAGUUUUGGAGGCUGAGAGGUGACUAAGUCAGGCGUUCAACCUAGAUUCUUCAACCUAGUCCUUCACUUAAGCACUUGGCUGAAAGAUUGGCUUCGGAAGACAGUACUCCAGCUGGGAUGUUGCACAUGGAACAGAUUGAUCUUGAAAUCUGGUCCUGAAGUCGACUUCACAGCAGGAAUUUCACACAUGCAGGCACAAAUGAGCACUUGUGAAAAUCUCCAUGAAAUAGCUGCUAAUAUUGUCUAAACUGGCUUUCAGCUUGGUAGCCAGUCUUCCAUAUAAAUGUCAAAUUAACUGGAUAAUUAUACCUCAAUAUGAACUCAAUGUCCAACAUUAGCUUUUUGGGAGAUUUAUUUUUCUUUAAACAGUGCUGGCUUCGUAAUCUUUUAGAAACAUUGUUUCUCUCAGAUUCUGAGAAGUAUUCAAAUAAAUAAAAGAGUAAACCAAAUGGAUUAUCAUUUUCCUCUUUCCUCUUCCCUCCCUCCCUUCCUCCUUCUUCCUUCCCUGUACCUAGUGUGUGCAAAGAACUAUGCUGGGUGUUGUGGAAUAAAACAAGUUAACAUAACCUUUCAGUAAUCAACUAGCAACCUCAUGGGGAAGACAGAAAAAUGUUAAGCGUAAAAUACCGUAAAUAUGCUCUAAUAGAAAUAUCAACUAUGUGUUUUGAAAACAUACAGAUUCUAAGUCCCAAAACAACCAGGACCUGCUCUCUUGGCUACUGCUUUUAACUACGUUGAUUAGCAAGAUGAUGACACAUAGUAGGUGUUUAAAAGAUAGAACAGGGAAUGCAUUUUCUAAUUUUGUGAAAAAGAUAAGUGGCAAAGAGAUGAAAACAAAGAAGAUUAUAUUUGAGCUGGAAUAUAAAGGAAUUUCUUUUUUCUUAGCCUGUUUUAAUUUUGUUGUUUUUGUUUUGUGAAAAAAAAAAAAAAAACCCUGGAUGCUUCAAACACUUUCUCUUUCUACAGUGACCCCACCUUUACAAUUGUCUGUAAUUCUCACUAGCAGUAUAUUAGAGGGCAAAAGAUUUGAACAGACACAUCAGAAAAGAAGACAUACAAAUGGUCACUAAGCACUUGAAAGGAUUCUGAACAUCAUCAGUGAAAUGCAAAUUAAAGCCAUAAUGAAUGGCGCUAUACAUUUUGAGAAUGACAAGGAUUAAAGACUGAAAAAAAUCAAGCGUUGAGACAGAUUCUUGCUCUGUCACCCAAGUUGGAGUGCAGUGGUGCGAUCAUAACUCCACAACCUCAAAUUACUCAGCUCAGAAGAUCCUCCUGCCUCAGCCUCCUGAAUACCUAGUAUUACAGAAUACCAGAGACUGGAUAAUUUAUGAAGAAAAUAAAUUAUUUCUCACAGUUCUUGAGGCUGGAAAGUCCAGGAGCAUGACGUGGAAGGUCAUUUAAUGGAGGAAGGCAUCACGUGAAGAGAAUACAGGAGGCUGAGGAAAUUUCUCAGUUCCCAAGGAAGCCAUGUUCUGCAUUGCUCCCCUCACAUUUGGAAAAGGACAAUGGAAAAGAAAGGUACUCUCAGAGGAUUAAAUAAAGAUUCAUAGAGAAUAAUGAAUUGGAGCCUGUUAUGGGAAGUGGAACUUGGGUUCCAUCAAUACACAUUACCAAUCUUUAAGGAAAACCCUCUAUGAUUAGUGUUUGAUGAUCUGUCUGUGGAUCUGCCGGCAGCCUUGUGACUUGCAUUCUCUUUAAGAUUUCUUUAACAAGCUGCACUCUUCUGGUCCUUGUUUGUUACGGCUUCAGCUGAGCUUUUGCUCGCAGUCCACCACUGCUGUUUUGCCACCAUCGCAGACCCGCCGCUGACUUCCAUCCCUCCGGAUCCAGCAGGGUGUCUGCUGUGCUUGUGAUCCAGCGAGGCACCCAUUGCCGCUCCCAAUUGGGCUAAAGGCUUGCCAUUGUUCCUGUACAGCUAAGUGCCUGGGUUCGUCCUAACUGAGCUGAACACUAGUCACUGGGUUCCAUGGUUCUCUUCCGUGACCCAUGACUUCUAAUAGAGCUAUAACACUCACCGCAUGGCCCAAGAUUCCAUUCCUUGGAAUCCGUGAGGCCAAGAACCCCAGGUCAGAGAAAACGAGGCUUGCCACCAUCUUGGAAGUAGCCCGCCGCCAUUUUGGAAGUGGCCCACCAGCAUCUUGGGAGCUCUGGGAGCAAGGACCCCCCAGUAACAUUUUGGCGACCACGAAGGGACAUCCAAAGCGAUAAGCUGAGACCAUCCUUGAAAUAGACUCACUUUGGUGUAAUCAGCUGAAGUUCACUGAAUGUGGUGGCACAAGACUGUAGUCCCUUGGGAAGCUCAGGCAGAAAGAUCUCGAGCCCAGGAGUUCAAGACUGUCAUAUGCUAUGAUCCCACUUCUGCAUAUCUGCUGCACUCCAGCCUCGACACAAUAUCUGUCUAGGUCUCCACCGAACAUAUCCACUGCUCGAUAUAAUAACUGGAAUAAACUAUUCUGAAAAAGUUAAAUGAGAAUUACCUGGCUACACGGGAAGCCUCCGUUUCUAAUUAGGAUGCAAAUUUAAAUUUUGAAAAAUAAACAAGUAUUGGGAGGAAAUCAAGAAACUGAAAACAGAAUGCCUAUUGUGACCAUUCUCCGUGCACUAUAAAUAAAGGACACAACCACGUUGAAGAGGUAGAGAAGAAAGGAUCUCAUCUAAGUGAUUUUGGACAACAGUGUUUAAACGGGAUACUGGAAGGCUAAAGACAAAAGGAACUGUAUAUAAACAUUGUACUCCAGUUGAGUAAGUUAGUUUCUCGAGGGGGUAUGAAUUAGCAAUUCUGAAACUGCUUUUUAUUUACCCAGAGGAUGAACUGAGAAGUAAAUAUAUGAUAUAUGAUGAGAGCCAGUUUUCUCACCAUUAAAGAAAGAAUUUAAAAUAAAGAGGAAAUAAGAGGGGAAGAAAAAAGGGAGAAUGCUAGGAGGAGCCCUGUGUGGUUGGAUUUGAAUUGGAGGUACCUGUAUAAACUCAUUGAUAGGGCUCGGCUAUGUCCUCACCCAAAUCUCAUCUUGAAUUGUAGUGCUCAUAAUCCACAUGUGUUGUGGGAGGGACCCAGUGGGAAAAAAUUUAGUCAUAGGGGCGGUUACCUCCAUGCUGUUCUCAUAAUAGUGACUGAGUUCUCACAAGAUCUGAGGGUUUUAUAAGAGGCUUUCCUGGACUUCACUCUGCACUUCUCCUUGCUACCACCAUGUGAAGAAAAAUGCAUUGGCUUCCUCUUUCACUGCGAUUGUACGUUUCCUGAGUUCUCCCCAGCCAUGCUGAACUGUGGAAGCAGACUGAAAGUGUAGAAGGAGGUUAGUGAACGUCUUCUGGCCUGUUCAUCUGACCCUUGCAUUAAGAAAAUAACGAUGCCACUCUGGAGAAGCACCUAGGAUUCAGUAAUACAUCUGAUUUAAGAAGCUGACAAAUCAAGGGGAAUAAGUCUCAAUCAAAUUUCUGAAUUACAAUGAAGAGAUUCCCAGCUACUAUGGACACUGAGGCAGGAGAAUUGCUUGAAUCCGGGAGGAGGUGGCAGUGAGCCAAGAUUGCGCCAUUCCAGCGUGGGCGACAGAGCAAGACUCCGUCUCAAAAGAAAAAAAAAAAAGAAAAGGAAGAGAUACUAUUGUGUUUUCUGAAUGUUUGUUUUGAAUCUUUCUUCUGAUCUGUUGCAUUCCAGGCAAACUCUCUGGAGCAAAAGGGCAAGGAGCAGAAUUGAUGUCAACACACAGAUAAGGGUCCAACAAAGACAGUCAGUUGGUUUCAUACCUUCAAUAGGUUUCGGUACAAAAUGUGAUGAGGGCUUGGUUUUCUUCACUCUGUUCCCCUUCAUAAUUUGACCUUCUUUAUUGAGUCCCAGAAACCAAGCUCGGCCUGAUUCUUGCUGGCGGUACAGUGUGGAAGAAUAGAUCACAUAGUAAUUUUCAAACACAGAUUCCUUGAAUUUGCAUUCUGGAGUGAAAACAUCCUGUAGAAAAAAAAAAAAAAAAGACACAAAAAAGAGAAAUGAUUUAAAGGUGAAUCAGCAAAUGCUUAAAUCCAAUAAGCUUGAAAUCCAUGUCCUCUGUUAAGAACAAAUGAAAGGCAAUGACACAUAGUUUCUGUUAGCCUUUGGUUAUAAAGAUUCAUCAUGCAAAAUAAAAAAACGUGAUUUCCUUUCUAGCCGACCUUUAGCCCAGAGAUAAUAACUUGCUCAGGCUUGAAGCUAGGUAAAAAUCAUUCACGACUGUGGCCAAGUCUGCGCUCUGAUCCUAGCAAUAUGUUUUGUAAACUAAAGUGAUUGGCCAUUCCUCAUUUACUCACCCUUAACAUGUAAAUAAGGAACUAAAAUUUAUCCUGGAAAUCAAAAUCAAAUAUAACCGCAGCAAACACAGGCACACAAGUUGCUUUUGAAGAGGCUAUUCUGUAUAUACAAAAAUGUAUUACAUAGCCACAGCCUGGUCAGGAAAAUCACCAAUUUUCCUAAUGUCGGUAACUUCCUCUUUAAUUUCGUUAAAACAUUUUUUUUCCUUAGUAAUCAAAAUCUCAGGUAAAAAGCCCAGGAAUAAUAGGAAAAAAUUACUAUUAUAUUGAAGAAAAUUACUAAUAGUAUUAGUAAUUCCUAUUACUAUUGACCUCAGUGAAACACAGAAUGAGAGUUUUAGUCUCAGAAGAAACUGUAAGAUCCGAUACUUCAACAUUUGGUAAGUGAGAAAACCAAAAGGUUAUAUGAUUAAUUCAAAUAUCCAUUUAAAAAACUACUGAGCCAGAGCUCACAUUUAUUGCUUCACAAUCACAGCCUCUCAGGCUCACCUUUUCUGCCUGAGUCUUGUUUAGUGACUUAUCAUGAGAUUUUAAAAUCAAUACAAUAAAAUCAUAUCCUAAUAUGUCACAUGAACAAAAUGUAUUUUGUGGAAGGAAGAAAUUUCUCCCCUUCUGAGAUCAGCAGAAGAAAAACAAAUGCCAUUGCAUCUUCUUCAGCUGCAAUUAAUUAAGAGUCCUACAUGUCCCACAUAUUCACCAUAGUCACCAUCUUCCUCUCCAUGAACUGGAAGAAUUUCAACGUGAGACCACCAUGAUUUAAUGCAAGCAAACCUGGAAUUAAGUUAUUAAUGAAUACAGGAAUAUUAAUGAAUAUAGGUUGGUUGAAACCAUGUCCUUGUAGGUGAUACUCCCAUGCUAAUCUCCUUAUUUGUAAGAGUGCUCUGUCUCUCUCUCCUCUUUCUCUCUCUCUCUCUCUCCUUUUUUUUCUUUUUGUAAGAGGUGGGGUCUUGCUAUGUUGCGCAGGCUGGCCUCAAACUCCUGGGCCCAGAAGAUCCUCCCACAUCAGCCUCCCAAGUAGCUGGAACUACAGGUGUGUACCACAGCACCCAGCUUGUUUUUGAAUAGUUCUAGCAUUAUAGACUAAGAAAAAUGAGACUAAGAGAACUGGAGUAGGCUGGGGUGUGGUAGCUUACCUCUGUAAUGCCAGCACUUCGGGAGGUUGAGUUAGGCAGAUCAUUUGAGGUCAGGAGUUCGAGACCAGCCUGGCCAACGUGGUGAAAUCCCAUCUCUACUAAAAAUGCAAAAAUUAGCCGGGUGUGGUGGCGGAUGCCUGUAUUCCCAGCUACUCGGGAGGCUGAGGUGGGAGGAUGACUUGAACUGGGGAGGUGGAUGUUGCAGUGAGCAGAGAUUACACCCCACACUCCAGCUUGGGUGACAGAGUGAAAUCGAAUCUCAACCCCCCCUCAAAAAAAAAAGUCCAAGAAAACACCCCCCAAAGAAAAUUGGAGUAUAAAGGUGGUUGUAGAUAGUAAGAUAAUAAGAAUAGCAAUAAAUUAAUAUUAUGUUUAUAUUAA